GAUGAAGAACGCAGCGAAAUGCGAUACUUGGUGUGAAUUGCAGAAUCCCGUGAACCAUCGAGUCUUUGAACGCAAGUUGCGCCCGAAGCCAUCAGGUUGAGGGCACGUCUGCCUGGGCGUCACAUAUCGUUGCCCAAUGCCUAUUGCAGUGCAAUAGGAAUUUCUAGGGCGAAUGAUGGCUUCCCGUGAGCGUUGUUGCCUCGCGGUUGGUUGAAAAUCGAGUCCUUGGUAGGGUGUGCCAUGGUAGAUGGUGGUCGAGUUAGAACGAUACCGAUCAUGUGCAUGCUCCCCAAAAUAUGGCCUCUAUGACCCACACGCGUCUUUUGACGCUCAUGACGAGACCUCAGGUCAGGCGGGGCUACCCGCUGAAUUUAAGCAUAUCUAAGCGGAGGA
rnacentral:misc_RNA from 1 species